AUUUGAAAUCUGGCGCAAGCCCGAGUUGUAAUUUGUAGAGGAUGUUUCUGGCGACGUGCCUUCCGAGUUCCCUGGAACGGGACGCCAUAGAGGGUGAGAGCCCCGUACGGUUGGAUGCCUAGCCUCUGUGAAACUCCUUCGACGAGUCGAGUAGUUUGGGAAUGCUGCUCUAAAUGGGAGGUAUACGUCUUCUAAAGCUAAAUACCGGCCAGAGACCGAUAGCGCACAAGUAGAGUGAUCGAAAGAUGAAAAGCACUUUGAAAAGAGGGUUAAAAAGUACGUGAAAUUGUUGAAAGGGAAGCGUUCAUGACCAGACUUGGGCAGGUUGAUCAUCCGUGGUUCUCCGCGGUGCACUCUGCCUGCCCAGGCCAGCAUCAGUUCGCCCCGGGGGAUAAAGGUUUUGGGAAUGUGGCUCCCUCGGGAGUGUUAUAGCCCACUGCGUAAUACCCUGGGGUGGACUGAGGUUCGCGCUCUGCAAGGAUGCUGGCGUAAUGGUCAUCAACGACCCGUCUUGAAACACGGACCAAGGAGUCGUCUUCGUAUGCGAGUGUUCGGGUGUCAAACCCCUACGCGUAAUGAAAGUGAACGUAGGAGAGAGCUUCGGCGCAUCUCCGACCGAUCCUGAUGUUCUCGGAUGGAUUUGAGUAAGAGCAUACGGGGCCGGACCCGAAAGAAGGUGAACUAUGCCUGUAUAGGGUGAAGCCAGAGGAAACUCUGGUGGAGGCUCGCAGCGGUUCUGACGUGCAAAUCGAUCGUCAAAUAUGGGCAUGGGGGCGAAAGACUAAUCGAACCUUCUAGUAGCUGGUUUCCGCCGAAGUUUCCCUCAGGAUAGCAGUAUUGAACUCAGUUUUAUGAGGUAAAGCGAAUGAUUAGGGACCCGGGGGCGCUAUAUUGCCUUCAUCCAUUCUCAAACUUUAAAUAUGUAAGAAGCCCUUGUUGCUUAAUUGAACGUGGGCAUUCGAAUGUAUCAAUACUAGUGGGCCAUUUUUGGUAAGCAGAACGGCGAUGCGGGAUGAACCGAACGCGAGGUUAAGGUGCCAGAGUAGACGCUCAU
rnacentral:rRNA from 1 species